CAGCCGCCACGGGAAUACGAAGGGGGCUAGCGUUGUUUGGAAUUACUGGGCGUAAAGCGCACGUAGGCGGAUAUUUAAGUCAGGGGUGAAAUCCCAGAGCUCAACUCUGGAACUGCCUUUGAUACUGGGUAUCUUGAGUAUGGAAGAGGUAAGUGGAAUUCCGAGUGUAGAGGUGAAAUUCGUAGAUAUUCGGAGGAACACCAGUGGCGAAGGCGGCUUACUGGUCCAUUACUGACGCUGAGGUGCGAAAGCGUGGGGAGCAAACAGGAUUAGAUACCCGCGUAGUCCCUGUCUCUUAUAA
rnacentral:rRNA from 1 species